rnacentral:rRNA from 1 species
AUUGAACGCUGGCGGCAGGCUUAACACAUGCAAGUCGAACGGCAGCGCGGGGAGCUUGCUCUCUGGCGGCGAGUGGCGGACGGGUGAGUAACGCGUGGGAAUCUGCCCUGUAGUGGGGGAUAACCCGAGGAAACUCGGGCUAAUACCGCAUACGACCUUCGGGUGAAAGUGGCUCUUUCGGGGGACACGCUAUGGGAUGAGCCUGCGUCCGAUUAGCUAGUUGGUGAGGUAAAGGCUCACCAAGGCGACGAUCGGUAGCUGGUCUGAGAGGAUGAUCAGCCACACCGGGACUGAGACACGGCCCAG